rnacentral:lncRNA from 1 species
CUGAGGGCAAGGAUGGAGGAGGAAGUUCAUUAAGGGCUUGACAAGACAGGAGACGUGGAAAAUGGUUGUUUAGGAAAGUUGAAUGGUGAAUGGAGCAGGGGAAUACAGUGGGAUCGCCAGGCAGCCUUGGCUCUUUGAUGUUGGUGGUUGUGAAUUUAAUAACAGGGUGGCGCCCUCUCCUUCAGCCACAGGCUGUGCAGAGCAUGUGGAGAGUCAGAUUUAAUCAGCGUUGUGUUUUUCCAAGUUAACAUGAGAGAGAGGCAAAGGAAUUGAGGGAACAUGCGCAGAAAUGAUGACAGUGGUUGUCACAGGCUUUAAGACGGGAGAGGAGGGACGUGAACGGGAGGAGGGUACUAAGACCAACGGUCUGAAGUCCUGACGAGGAUGUCAACGUAAAUACGAGAGGCCAAGACACUUGAUGUGUUGGCAAAAACCCAGCCAAACACAUUCUGACAAGAUGUUCUCAGUUCCAGCUGAUCCUCAGAGGGUUGAUGCUGCGGCAUAAAGGUUAGUUAUCUGACACGACCCAAGGGCAGGCCUCCCAGAGGGAGCUGACUUCCUGCAGGGCGGGACUGUUUGGCAAACAUCCUGAGAGAAGACUGGGUGGAUGCACAGGACCAGAGGCCAAGGCUGCACACACCAGACACUUGAAAUUGCAGGACUUGUGCCUGAACUCCUGUUCCUGCCCAGGAGGAUCUGGUACUGCUCCAACCGUGAAUGCUAAGACAGAAGUGGGGAGGUCCAGCAAGGCUUGGACCCCAGGAGCUCAUCACCCCAGAGCUGACACUGCUGCUUCCUUAGGCAUGCAGCUUCUUAGCCCAGAGUGUAGACUGCAGUCUUGCUAGAUGACUUUGCAAGGUCCAGGGAGCCACAGGCAGAGGGGCGACUGCCCAGCUGCUCCUCUCCAGCUUCGGUCCCAGCUUAAAUAUCACCUCCUCGGAGAGGUCUUCCCUGAUUAUCAAGGGCAAGAUGUACCUGUUUGGCUUCCUGUGCAUUACCAGAACCUAGCACAGUGCCUAGCAUGGAGUCAGCACUCAGUAAAAAGCCGCCACAGAGCCAGCCAUGAUGGCCUAGUGGUUUGGGUUCUGCGUGCUCCUCUUUGGUGGCCCAGGUUCAGUUCCCAGGCGUGGAACCACACCCCUCUCGUCUGUCAGCAGCCAUGCUGUGGUGGCGGCUCACACAGAGGAGCUAGAAGAACUUAGAACUAGACACAACUAUCUACUGGGGCUUUAGAGGAGAGAAAAAAGGGAAGACAACUGGCAACAGAUGUCAGUGAAGAGCGAAUCUUCCCCCGCAAAAAAAAAAAGAACUUUUGAGCUAAAAGAGGCUGUGGAAUUCAUCUGUGGAAGCUGGGGACAGAGGACCAUGUUGGAACAGAAAUGCCCGUCAGUGGGGGAUGGCUAAGCAAGCUUGUGUCUCUGUGCUGUGAAAUACUACACAGUGGCUACGAGGAAGGAGAUUGCUCUCUCUGCUGACACAGCCAGAUCUCCGAGACCUACUGUUAAUGAAAAGCAAGCUGCAUAAAGAUAUUUGUGGAAUGAUACCGUCAUUUUUUGUAGAAAAAUACACACACACAUGUAAACAAAGACAGAGCAAGCGCUGGGGCUGCAUGAAACUGGCUCAGAUGCUGGCUCAGCAACUUGUCUGUGAUCCGGGGGAAGACUUGACCCUCGAUCUCAGCUUCUUCAUCACCAAAACAUCUUGCAGUUUUGGCCCUUUUUGUGUUUGUCCAUGGUGCCUGAAGACUCUGCUUUCUGGACUAAGGCCUGAGAAUUUACUUCAGUGUCUACGUGGGAGUCCAGGCUGGCCGUCUGCAUUUUUGUGAUGAAUGGGCAUCCUAACCACUGGAACAUUCUUGAACUGAGUUGCUUCUUUCCAUCUUGCAGACAGAAGGACAAACAUCUCUCCUACUCUUCUGAGGCAACGCUUCAGAUCCGCUCAGCCUCACCACCUCUUGUCUCAGCACCAGCAGUUCCGGAUGGCUCCUGCUGUCAGCGCCUCCCCUCGAGCUGCAGCUCGUGCCUCUCAUCUCCCACCCAGGGGGGUGUUGAUGCCAGACACAGAGGCCCAGGACGCUGCUGUGGCUCACACAGGGAACACUGAAGUGAGGCGGGGAGUUAACGCCCCACGAGGAGACUUUCGACAGAAGGAGACAGUUAGUGGAUAGAUUCUUCUUCCUUUCUCCCUGCAGGUGGACAGUUUUGAGAUGCGGCUUUGUGACUUCCUGGAGAAUGAUCCUGUCCACUUGAACAAUCAGUCUGACGUGGCAGCUGCCAACCCCCCGUGUCUCCUAUUGGCUCCUCCUUUGCUGCUUCGCGUCCGUGUCCCUCACAGCUGGAAAUGCGUUCCUAAUCAGGUGGAAGUACCAUAGCUCCUUGCCUCAGGCUCUGCUUUCUCAGUAGCCCAGGCUAAGAGAACACCACAGAAUUCACAGACAAAACCAUGCCAAUUUCAGCAUCAUUAGUAGCUUUUCGUCAUGUAGGAAUCCUUCCUGGCGUCUCACUCGGUUGUAUCCUAAAUGUGUGACAUUGGGAAAGUCACCUAAUCUCUCUGAGCCUCAUAUUCUUCAGGGUAAUGUGGCGAUAACAAUAAUGCGCGUCUCAUGAAGAGUUGGAGGAAUUGAGAGAAACUUGAUACGGGCCGGUGCUUGUCAUGUAGUGAACGCUCAGUGUCAGCUGCCGUUGUUAUCAUUAUGAAAAUCAGUCCUAUUGGCAACAUGACGGAGCUCUAGGGGAGACAGCAAAAGGAAAGGGCGUCCACUUACAGGUACUUUAGGGAGGUUGGAAAGGUGUGCCUGCACACCUGUGAGCACGUGUUCACGUUACACAAUAAGGCCUCGAGGGUCCAUUCCAUCAUCCAAAGAAGGCCGGAUUUAGAAAUGGAACCUAGACCCCUUCUGGAGUCAGACUUCCACGCCACGGUGAAAGGAUCCUGCUGAGCGGUCGAGCAUUUUGAAGGGCUGUGUAGGUUUAAACUGAAUCAGGACCACAGUGGUCCCAGGUUUUGACAUUUCCUUCUGUGGCUUCCCGCUCAGCGUGCUGGCACGGCCGAGGGACGCCCGGCCUCUCUCCGUGAUCCUGAGCUGUGCCUGGGCUCCGCACAGGAGAUGGCCUGCCUCUCACAGCUGGCCGUCCUUUGAUCCCAGAGUUUCAAUUGUGUUAUGUUUGGCUUUUGCUUGCUGAUGAAGAGAUGUAUAUGGAUUUCAUUUUCUUUAGUCUCUGGCUGCCAAAGAUCUUGGUGUUUGUAAUAUUCGUGGGCAACUAGAUCAACUACAACCACGUUUUUGCUGGGCGGUUUUCACGGUAGCGGGAAGUCAGAAGUGAUGCGUAGGCUCCUAAAUCUUGGGCUUUGUUUAACAUGUAAUUUUUAUGGCCAGUGAGACUGAGUAAGGUCCUAAUAUUUCAGAACUUCAUAUAGGAGGCAAGCCAGAAUGAAAAAUGACACUGUCCGCCAGCCAAACCCAGCCACUGCAUAACGCAUCUUCUCAGAAAAUCAUCCUGACCCUCCUCCAAGCUCACUUUUGUCCUCCAGGUUCGGAAUCCUUGUUAAAUGAACUUCUGGGGCUUAUUUUUCUUUGGUAGUGCAGCAAAUAUAAAAUGUCCUCCACACUACCCACAAACAUGCAGACCAGAUGUCGAUCCCUCAGGACCCUAACUGGUGUUUUCUCCCUGAUGACCGCUUAGCCCGCUAGAGAACGGAAAACGAAAAUCCAAGUUUUACUCUAAGUAUGGAACCUCAGCCCGGUCCUAGCAUUUCGAGUCUCUUUGGGUAACUCAGUCCCUGCUCAGAAACUGCAGUGAAUGUUUCCAAUCCCCUUUUGCUCUGCUCAGAGACGGCGUCUGGGUGGGAUGCACAGCAGCUGGAAGCAGAUGCUCGCUAGAUGGCCUUGGGCCGCACGCAGACUCCUGCAGCAGACGUCAGGAUCUCUGCCCAGGAGCCAGUCCGGGAGGGAUGUGCUGCCUCGGCAGCUGAGAAUGGUCAGCAGACAGUCUCUGGCCCACAGCUCCUCCAGGAUCUGCUUCAGCUGCAGAAAGACAUCUUACCAAGGUCCCAGGCUUCCCAGGGCAGCCCCUCUCCGGCCCUGAUGGAGGCGGGGGGGAAAGACCUGGCCAGCGCGGUGGGUCGCAGCACAACACAGGUGGCCAGUCUCCCUCCAGAGUCCCCUGGGGGGCCGAGGCUUUGCUGGGUCUCAUCACAAUCUCAUCAACUCCUCCCCUGGCCCAAUCCCACUUCCUCCCCCAUUCUUCACAGAUAUGGAUUCCUAAUAAGCAUCUCGCACCCCAAACUCUGUCUCAGCAUCUACUUCCAGAGCAGCCAACUCACAGAGCUCAUCUCUUCUCCCGUCUUCUGCUGUGACAUCCACGCCGUCACUGUGCGACGUGGGAGUGGACUCUGCAGGCUCUUCCCGAUGGCCCCCGGUCUCUGUGCACAGCGGAUACAUGGCACCCGCCGCAUGCUCCGGGCCUCCCGUCCUGUGGGAUACUUCUAACGACAGUCCUGAAGCUCUGCUUGGAGCCUGGUAAAGGAGGGCGGGACCUGGCCUCUCACCUCCCUCAUUUCUCUCUCUCUCUUAUUACUCACAAAAUCCCUCAAGUCAGGAGGAGCAGCCUUUUGGCUUCUCUUUGUCCCUUUUCUCUUCUCCAUCCCGGACACAGAGCAAGAUUCUACGACCUGGUUCACCAAGUCUGUCUCUUGAUAUGAUAAAGGCAUCCCACACAGGUCCUUACGGGAGGCAAGAUGUAUGCAGGAGCCGCACUCCAUCCUGUCCCAUGUCUACCUGCUCUACCCGGGGACCAUCCACCUGGGGGCAGAAGGGAAUACCCUCUAUUUCGCUGCAGUCCCGUCACCAUCUGACCCGUGGCUUGAUCUCUGUGGUCUCUGCCUGGAUGUCUCAGGAAAAGCUUCAGCCUUUCAGAGUUCUGCUCUUUCCCUGCCCCUCCCAGCUGGCACUAAAAGAAGGGGCGGGGAGGUCCCCGGACCACCCUCCAGUGUGGGCUCCCCGCUGAUGGGCCAUGCGGUUGCUGGCCUGGAUUGCUCCCUGGCCCUGUGGUCACUGAGGUGCAGCUGGAACGGUCACAGUUUGUGAGGACACGCGUCAGCACCCACUCCUGGAACCUGCUUCCCGUCACCAGUUUCUGGGGUGGGAGACCCUGCGCUGCUCUCUGACCCCGGGCCUCGGCCGCUCUCUGGCCUCGUUGGUGCCCUGCUUACUCUUCCGCAUGUGUCUGCCGCCUUGAGCACCAGGAACCCGGGUGUGGCCAAGGCACAUGGACCUGGCCUUCUCGUGCCACCGCCACCUCCGUGCCCUGUGUCCCCACACCACCCAGGUGUGACAAUUAGCCCCAAACUGGGCCCCUCCCAGAGGCCUGCAGCCUCCCCCAUCACACCCAGACCAAGGAUGCUGGCCACGAACCCUGCUGUUUUCAAUGCUUCCUGCUCUAGGUGUUUCUGAAAGUACUUCCUCCCACCGGCUCUCUCGAGGUGCCUCCAUGCUCCCAGUCCUGGGAGAAAAGGCAACCCGCUGACCGCCUGCCUCCCUGUGCUGUGCGUCCUCCUGUAAUCCCGACUUCCUCCACGACCCGUCCCAAGUCCCGUCCAGACAGACAGACAGCGAGAGACUUCAGAGAAGUGUCCCCCUUUUGCAAAGGAAGGAAUUUACAUUCCAGACAUUCAGGCCUGAUUCUCUGCACACGAAUAAAGCUAAAAGAAAUGAAAAACCACUUAUUUCUCAGCAAAACUUGGCUUUUGAGAUUAUCUUGUUUCAAUCUCAAACAAAUAGAUAAGCAACAGUCUCCUGUGCUAACAGACAGGGACCCUUCUCUGAAGCACUUGGGCCCUAUUCCUCACAGUGUGAGACGUUGCCAGUUAAUAAGAUUUAUGAGACAUGGAAAUGUAUCUGAACAUAAUUCAAAGGAAUGUUGUACCUGUUGUAUAACAAGAAGAAUAAAUUUGACAGCAAUUCCCUCUGCCGUAGUGAGUGUACUUUGUAUAUAUUAUCUCAUUUAAUUUUCAUCAUAACCCUGUGGGAAAAGUAUUAUUAUCCCAAUUUUGGAAAUGAUACAUGAGGCCCAGGAGAGCAAACUGCCUUGCCUGAGGUCACGUGACUAACAAGAGGUGGACCAGGUUCCGUCUGUCUGACUCCAAGCCCCUUGCUCUGACCACUGUGGUUGCUCCGUCUGAAAAGAGUUGGCUACAAAACAAGAUUUUGAGGAUGCAGAGCUCUCAUUUGGUGACGACUUUUCUGGCUCUGUGCUUGAGAACCAAACUCUGAGGCGGCUGUGUGGCUCUGCUUCCUCAUCCGUCCAGUGGAG